UCGCCCUUAGAGUUUGAUCCUGGCUCAAGAUGAACGCUAGCGGCAGGCUUAACACAUGCAAGUCGAGGGGUAACAGGGAGUGCUUGCACUCCGCUGACGACCGGCGCACGGGUGCGUAACGCGUAUGCAACCUACCUUUUACAGGGGGAUAGUCAAGAGAAAUUUUGAAUAAUACCCCAUACGAUUUUAAUUACACCUGUACUAAAGAGGAAAACUUCGGUGGUAAAAGAUGGGCAUGCGUCCUAUUAGUUAGAUGGUGAGGUAACGGCUCACCAUGACUACGAUAGGUAGGGGUCCUGAGAGGGAGAUCCCCCACACUGGUACUGAGACACGGACCAGACUCUUACGGGAGGCAGCAGUGAGGAAUAUUGGACAAUGGAGGCAACUCUGAUCCAGCCAUGCCGCGUGCAGGAAGACUGCCCUAUGGGUUGUAAACUGCUUUUAUACAGGAAGAAACACUCCCUCGUGAGGGAGCUUGACGGUACUGUACGAAUAAGGAUCGGCUAACUCCGUGCCAGCAGCCGCGGUAAUACGGAGGAUCCAAGCGUUAUCCGGAAUCAUUGGG
rnacentral:rRNA from 1 species